UAGCUCAGUGGUAGAGUGCUUGCUUAGCACAUGCAAGGUCCUGGGUUCAAUUCCCAG
rnacentral:tRNA from 1 species